UAGUCCCCCUGGCCGAGCUGGAGACAAAGCCACACAUAGUCCUGGCCUCCUCGGCCCAGGCCUUCUCCGGCCCCGCCAGCACAUUCCCAAGUGGGAUGCUCCAAGGCUCUGGGCCCACGUGAAGGAGAAGGAGGCCCCUGGGAGGAGCUGAGCGGUUGCACGUGGGCAGGGAGAACAGAGCCUCCAUGCAAGCCUGUGCUGUGGCAAGCGUCCAGCCGCAGCCCGUGGAGUCCGCAUUCUUUCCACUAGAGGGCGGUCAGCUGUGAAAGCACCUGGGAUCCCGAGAGGGGGCCUGAGAGGCAGGGGUGGAGAUGUGGCCCGAGGGACGGAGAGUCUCCUGGCCUCCGGGAGCCUUGAGCAUACUGCUCUUCCAGCUGCCUGAGCAGGUGCCCACAGGGUUUCGGAGACCUCCUGACAGCAGGUGUGGGCCCAAGGGAGCCGAAGGAUCUCCUGAGGAGAGUCUCGUUGGAGAAGACACUGGCUUCCUCACGACUACCGGCCCCCACCUCCCCCAAAGUGGGUUUCUCCGGAGGGAUUCUCUGAAGCCGAUUUCUUCUCGCCCCUCCUCUGUCCCACCAUUGAGGCUGCUGACUCGGGCCUGGUCCUGUUUUGGAUGGCUACCCCUGCAAGCGGGAAAUGCG
rnacentral:lncRNA from 1 species